rnacentral:lncRNA from 1 species
GCCCUCAAAUGAAAGAAUGAGAGAAACACAUUGAAUACUUCUAUAAAUAGUAGAGGACACAUGAAGGUUUUGAUCUCCAGGCCACAAGUGACAUCCUAAAAUAUGAGCUCUAAGGGUUGAACUACUAGAUGAUUAGAUUCUCUCAAACAAAUGUUUUGAGAAUUACCACAGUAAUGAUGGAAACAGACAAAAGGGAAUUUUAAAAAAAUUAUUAUUUUUCUUAGCUUUGCUGUUUGCAGCCUGCAGAACUAGUCUGCAAGAAAUAAAAGAAAGCAAAAUAUUUAUUUAAAAAAAAACGAAAACAAAAACCUUGUACUCCGAAAAGUACUUUUCCGAACUGGUACUUACAUAGUUCAGAAGAUGAAGAAGAGAGGCAGAGAGAGGGAGAGAGGGAAGCUACAUUCUUAUAACUAUGUCUAUUGCAUGAUUUGCUUUAAAUUUAAAUAGUGUUUCAUUUUCUUCCUUCCUCAACAGGAAGGAAACUUCUUAAAACUGAAUAGUCAGCCAACUGCAUACAGUGUCACUGCAUACAAGUUUCGUAUUUUUAUAUAGUCUUUCAUCAAGUGUUCUGAGUCUGGGUGGCCCAAUAUAAAAUUGACUUGAUAUGUGGCUCAAAAUAGUUUAAUGUUUUGAAUCUGAAUAUGACCUACCAAAAACUGUCCAAAUGGAACGUUUUUAUUUUCCCAUAACACUUUUAUUUUCCAUGACAUUCCAUAUAAAAACACACUAAAUAAAGGAGAGCCUGGGAAAGUGAGCAUUACAUGUGCCACCAGACCGCUGACUUCCAGUCUCUGCCUUUUUCAUUACUCGGAAGCAUCAUACAAUGAACAUUUACACAGCUCUGCUCCCAGAACCUAAACAUGCCAAAUGAUUUUAUUUGUGUCUCAUCCCUGGAGUAAGAAAGACCAUGUAAUCAGAAACCGUUGGCGCCGGAAGAGACCCUCCCAAGGUCCUGAGGACCAGACUCUCAUUCCAAGUUUGCUUCUCUUUGGAAAGAUAGUACUGGAUUAUCUGAAACAGAAAAAAAUAAAAAGAUAAUUUUUAAGGAAAAAACGUAAGGUAAUGUCAAUGAAUUCUCAAAAAUGAGAUUUACCUUAUAGCUUCUAUAUUUUUAAACAAACAACAUCAUUUUUCCACAGGUACAAUCAUUAUUUGGAACUGUCACUAAAUUAUACCCUCCAAAAUCAGUGUUAAAUUUUAGAGCUUUGAAACAAUGCAUUUUGGUAUUGUUGCUUUAUUUUUCUCCCUGCAAAAAAAUGAC